rnacentral:rRNA from 1 species
CCUACGGGCGGCAGCAGUGAGGAAUAUUGGUCAAUGGGCGUAAGCCUGAACCAGCCAAGUCGCGUGAGGGAUGAAGGUUCUAUGGAUCGUAAACCUCUUUUAUAAGGGAAUAAAGUGUGGGACGUGUCCUGUUUUGUAUGUACCUUAUGAAUAAGGAUCGGCUAACUCGGUGCCAGCAGCCGCGGUAAUACGGAGGAUCCGAGCGUUAUCCGGAUUUAUUGGGUUUAAAGGUUGCGUAGGCGGCCUUUUAAGUCAGCGGUGAAAGUCUGUGGCGCACCCAUAGAAUUGCCGUUGAAACUGGGAGGCUUGAGUAUGUUUGAGGCAGGCGGAAUGCGUGGUGGAGCGGUGAAAUGCUUAGAUAUCACGCAGAACCCCGAUUGCGAAGGCAGCCUGCCAAGCCAUGACUGACGCUGAUGCACGAAAGCGUGGGGAUCAAACAGGAUUAGAUACCCCAGUAGUC